ACGAACGCUGGCGGCGUGCUUAAUGCAUGCAAGUCGCACGAGGCCCCAUCGACGGGUAACCGUCGCGGGGUACUAGUGGCGAACGGGUGAGUAACACGUGAGGAACCUGCCCCGGAGUCCGGGAUAGCCCAGGGAAACCUGGAUUAAUACCGGAUGCCCUCGAUCGGUCGCAUGUCUGGUCGAGGAAAGGUCCGCCGUUCCGGGAUGGCCUCGCGGCCUAUCAGCUUGUUGGUGAGGUAACGGCUCACCAAGGCAACGACGGGUAGCUGGUCUGAGAGGACAAUCAGCCACACUGGGACUGAGACACGGCCCAGACUCCUACGGGAGGCAGCAGCAGGGAAUAUUGCACAAUGGGCGAAAGCCUGAUGCAGCGACGCCGCGUGAGGGAUGAAGGCCUCCGGGUCGUAAACCUCUUUCAGGAGGGAAGAAGCGCAAGUGACGGUACCUGGAGAAUAAGCUCCGGCUAACUCCGU
rnacentral:rRNA from 1 species